UCCAAACAGUGUCUGAACUUUUCCAGACUAUUAAUUUUCGUAUCUAUACUUUCAAAAACAUCAAAAUGAUACCUGAAGAUUUAAACCCGAUCCAAUUUCCGUACCUGACAACAGUAAUAUCGUCAACGGCGUUAACUUUUAAAGGGUAAAAUUGGUACUUCUGAAAAGAAAAAGAAAAAACUUGAAGUUAACCCUCUCCUUCCACCUGCUUUCGGAUUCUUUUCUUUCUCUCUUUCUCUGAUGGUUGAUUCACUUCAUAAUAGUGCUAAAAUUCUUCGGCCUCCAAAACCUUAAUCUGGUUUAUUCAAAUUGAAGGGCUGGGGGCCGUGCAUGGGCUGGGCGGGGCUGCAAGGGUUGAGCAGGGCAUAUGCGUGAGCUAGCGAGGCUAAUGGACUCGCGGGGCUGGGCAAGCUUUGCGCAGGCGGGGUGUAGGCCGUGUGUAGCGAGGCAGACUUGCCCGAGCUCCAGGUUUUGCAGCUAUUGGAGAACAACUUCACUGGGUCUAUUACUCAAGGAGCUCUGCAUCUUGAUUCAAAUGGGUGAGAACUUUCUAAAUGGGUCGAUUCCUAAAGGUUUCUUUGGUUGCCCAAACUCACUCAAGUGGAGCUGCACGAGAUCGUCUGGGUCAGGGACUAAAUUACCUCAAUCUCUCAAUAAACCAUCUUGUGGGGAACAUGCCAUCUACCCUUUCGGCAAUAGAGAUAUACUUGGCAAAAAUCAAUUUCCCAGUUCUGCUUGAAACCUCCUUCGCUGGAAGUAGAACCACUUUUGAAAAGUUCUUCCUUUAUUUACUCCUCCUCUCUUGAUCCUAUAAAGGAAGUUCUUACUGUGGCCAUACCUCAUUUGCAACAAAGCUAUUUCUAAACUACUAUUUGAUUAGACUACUGCAAAAUUCUCAAUCAACCUUCAUUUCAUGGAUAUCAACAGAACAAACAAUUAAAACCUCAUGAAGUAAUCCAAAAGAAAUUAAAGAUA